rnacentral:rRNA from 1 species
UACGUAGGGGGCAAGCGUUGUCCGGAAUCAUUGGGCGUAAAGAGCGCGUAGGCGGCCCGAUAAGUCCGCUGUGAAAGUCAAGGGCUUAACCCUUGAAUGCCGGUGGAAACUGUCGGGCUAGAGUCCGGAAGAGGCGAGUGGAAUCCUGGUGUAGCGGUGAAAUGCGCAGAUAUCAGGAGGAACACCGAUGGCGAAGGCAGCUCGCUGGGACGGUACUGACGCUGAGGCGCGAAAGCGUGGGGAGCGAACAGG